rnacentral:rRNA from 1 species
AUUGAACGCUGGCGGCAUGCUUUACACAUGCAAGUCGAACGGCAGCACGGGCUUCGGCCUGGUGGCGAGUGGCGAACGGGUGAGUAAUACAUCGGAACGUACCCAGUAGUGGGGGAUAGCCCGGCGAAAGCCGGAUUAAUACCGCAUAUGCCCUGAGGGGGAAAGCGGGGGACCGAAAGGCCUCGCGCUAUUGGAGCGGCCGAUGGCUGAUUAGCUAGUUGGUGGGGUAAAGGUCUACCAAGGCGACGAUCAGUAGCUGGUCUGAGAGGACGACCAGCCACACGGGGGCUGAGACACGGCCCAGACUCCUACGGGAGGCAGCGGUGGGGAAUUUUGGACAAGGGGCGAAAGCCUGAUCCAGCAAUGCCGCGUGUGCGAAGAAGGCCUUCGGGUUGUAAAGCACUUUUGUUUGGAAAGAAAAGGUUUGGGUUAAUACCCUGGACUGAUGACGGUACCAAUCGAAUAAGCACCGGCUAACUACGUGCCAGCCGCCGCCGUAA